rnacentral:rRNA from 1 species
GACGAACGCUGGCGGCGUGCUUAACACAUGCAAGUCGAACGAGGCCCUGCCUUCGGGCAGGUGACCUAGUGGCGAACGGGUGAGUAACACGUGGGCAACCUACCCUCAGCUCUGGGAUAAACCCCGGGAAACCGGAGCUAAUACCGGAUAUGACCUGGAACGACAUCGUUCUUGGUGGUAAAGUUUUUCGGCUGAGGAUGGGCCCGCGGCCUAUCAGCUUGUUGGUGGGGUAAUGGCCUACCAAGGCGACGACGGGUAGCCGGCCUGAGAGGGCGAACGGCCACACUGGGACUGAGACACGGCCCAGACUCCUACGGGAAGCAGCAGGUGGGGAAUAUUGCGCAAUGGGCGAAAGCCUGACGCAGCGACGCCGCGUGAGGGAUGAAGGCC